GGUUAAGCGACUAAGCGUACACGGUGGAUGCCUAGGCAAUCAGAGGCGAUGAAGGACGUGCUAAUCUGCGAAAAGCGUCGGUAAGGUGAUAUGAACCGUUAUAACCGACGAUAUCCGAAUGGGGAAACCCAGUGCAAUUCGUUGCACUAUCGUUUGAUGAAUACAUAGUCAAACGAGGCGAACCGAGGGAACUGAAACAUCUCAGUACCUCGAGGAAAAGAAAUCAACCGAGAUUCCCCUAGUAGCGGCGAGCGAACGGGGAGCAGCCCAGAGUCUUAAUCAGCAUUAGCAUCAGGAGAACAGUCUGGAAAGGCUGGCAGUAAAGGGUGAUAGCCCCGUAUCCGAAGGUGUUAGUGUUGUGAACUCGACGAGUAGGGCGGGACACGUGUUAUCCUGUCUGAAUAUGGGGGGACCAUCCUCCAAGGCUAAAUACUCCUGAUUGACCGAUAGUGAACCAGUACCGUGAGGGAAAGGCGAAAAGAACCCCGGCGAGGGGAGUGAAAUAGAACCUGAAACCGUGUACGUACAAGCAGUGGGAGCACCCUUCGGGGUGUGACUGCGUACCUUUUGUAUAAUGGGUCAGCGACUUAUAUUCUGUAGCAAGGUUAACCGAAUAGGGGAGCCGUAGGGAAACCGAGUCUUAACUGGGCGAAUGAGUUGCAGGGUAUAGACCCGAAACCCGGUGAUCUAGCCAUGGGCAGGUUGAAGGUUGGGUAACACUAACUGGAGGACCGAACCGACUAAUGUUGAAAAAUUAGCGGAUGACUUGUGGCUGGGGGUGAAAGGCCAAUCAAACCGGGAGAUAGCUGGUUCUCCCCGAAAGCUAUUUAGGUAGCGCCUCGUGAACUCAUCUUCGGGGGUAGAGCACUGUUUCGACUAGGGGGUCAUCCCGACUUACCAACUCGAUGCAAACUACGAAUACCGAAGAAUGUUAUCACGGGAGACACACGGCGGGUGCUAACGUUCGUCGUGAAGAGGGAAACAACCCAGACCGCCAGCUAAGGUCCCAAAGUCAUAGUUAAGUGGGAAACGAAGUGGGAAGGCUCAGACAGCCAGGAUGUUGGCUUAGAAGCAGCCAUCAUUUAAAGAAAGCGUAAUAGCUCACUGGUCGAGUCGGCCUGCGCGGAAGAUGUAACGGGGCUAAACUAUGCACCGAAGCUGCGGCAGCGAUAUUUAGAUAUUGUUGGGUAGGGGAGCGUUCUGUAAGCCUGUGAAGGUGUACUGUGAGGUAUGCUGGAGGUAUCAGAAGUGCGAAUGCUGACAUAAGUAACGAUAAUGCGGGUGAAAAACCCGCACGCCGGAAGACCAAGGGUUCCUGUCCAACGUUAAUCGGGGCAGGGUGAGUCGACCCCUAAGGCGAGGCAGAAAUGCGUAGUCGAUGGGAAACGGGUUAAUAUUCCCGUACUGGUGAUAAUUGCGAUGGGGGGACGGAGAAGGUUAGGCUGGCCGGGCGACGGUUGUCCCGGUUUAAGGAUGUAGGCAGGUGAAUUAGGCAAAUCCGGUUCACUACAUGCUGAGGUCUGAUGACGAGCCACUACGGUGGUGAAGUAGCUCAUACCCCGCUUCCAGGAAAAGCCUCUAAGCUCUAGAUUAUCAUUAAUCGUACCCCAAACCGACACAGGUGGUCAGGUAGAGAAUACUCAGGCGCUUGAGAGAACUCGGGUGAAGGAACUAGGCAAAAUGGUGCCGUAACUUCGGGAGAAGGCACGCUGGCGCUAGGUGAAGUGGUUUACCCAUGGAGCUGAAGCCAGUCGCAGAUACCAGCUGGCUGCAACUGUUUAUUAAAAACACAGCACUGUGCAAACACGAAAGUGGACGUAUACGGUGUGACGCCUGCCCGGUGCUGGAAGGUUAAUUGAUGGGGUUAUCCGUAAGGAGAAGCUCUUGAUCGAAGCCCCAGUAAACGGCGGCCGUAACUAUAACGGUCCUAAGGUAGCGAAAUUCCUUGUCGGGUAAGUUCCGACCUGCACGAAUGGCGUAAUGAUGGCCAGGCUGUCUCCACCCGAGACUCAGUGAAAUUGAACUCGCUGUGAAGAUGCAGUGUACCCGCGGCAAGACGGAAAGACCCCGUGAACCUUUACUAUAGCUUGACACUGAACAUUGAGCCUUGAUGUGUAGGAUAGGUGGGAGGCUUCGAAGCGUGGACGCCAGUCUGCGUGGAGCCAACCUUGAAAUACCACCCUUUAAUGUUUGAUGUUCUAACGUUGCCCCGUAAUCCGGGGUGCGGACAGUGUCUGGUGGGUAGUUUGACUGGGGCGGUCUCCUCCCAAAGAGUAACGGAGGAGCACGAAGGUUGGCUAAGCAUGGUCGGACAUCAUGCGGUUAGUGCAAAGGCAUAAGCCAGCUUGACUGCGAGAGUGACGGCUCGAGCAGGUACGAAAGUAGGUCUUAGUGAUCCGGUGGUUCUGAAUGGAAGGGCCAUCGCUCAACGGAUAAAAGGUACUCCGGGGAUAACAGGCUGAUACCGCCCAAGAGUUCAUAUCGACGGCGGUGUUUGGCACCUCGAUGUCGGCUCAUCACAUCCUGGGGCUGAAGUAGGUCCCAAGGGUACGGCUGUUCGCCGUUUAAAGUGGUACGCGAGCUGGGUUUAGAACGUCGUGAGACAGUUCGGUCCCUAUCUGCCGUGGGCGUUGGAAGAUUGAAAGGGGCUGCUCCUAGUACGAGAGGACCGGAGUGGACGCACCACUGGUGUUCGGGUUGUCAUGCCAAUGGCAUUGCCCGGUAGCUAAGUGCGGAAAAGAUAACCGCUGAAAGCAUCUAAGCGGGAAACUUGCCUUGAGAUGAGUCUUCCCUGACCCUUUAAGGGUCCUAAAGGAACGUUUAAGACUAAGACGUUGAUAGGUUGGGUGUGUAAGCGUAGCGAUACGUUGAGCUAACCAAUACUAAUGAACCGUGAGGCUUAACCUG
rnacentral:rRNA from 1 species